UACGACGGUGAGCUGGGUGUGGCAGUUUUUUUUAUAUCUUUGUUGCUGGGUGCGCGUGUGCAAGUGUGCAAGGAGUGGGGUGGGAAGAGCGAGGGCUAGGGUAGAGGGGUGGCCGGAGUUGAACCGAUACCGCUGCCCCUCUGCUCCUAGUUGUUGAGGAGAGGAAACGGAAGAGGUAGUGGCGGGCGGCGGGCGGUGUGCGGAGGGGCGCAGGGAGGAAGUAGGGGCAGGGGCUAACCCGGCGGCGGCGGUGGCGUGGUAGUCCCCUGUGGCAGCCUCACGUUGGUGUCACGGCGGUCCCAUGCGGCGCACAUGGCCGGCCGUUACGUACUCUGCGGCGCCGACGUCCCGUUGCGGCCUGCUCGUCGCGUGCUUCGUCCACGUCCACCGCCAAGACCAGUCUUCCUCCGUCGUGCCCCUCCCCCCGAAUCCGCCCACUUCCCUCCGGCACGCCGUGGCUUCCCUCUCCAGCAGACGCCACCAAUGGCACAUAUAAGACUGGUACAACAGGCCGGUGCGGAUGUGCAGCCUCCAGAACCUCUUCUAACCGGAGGAAGUCGCCGAACACUGGGGUCCGGGGGUUGUGACUACUCCGAAGUACCGCCAAUGUCGUUUGUCACGUAGGCGAAGCUGACCAAUUAAAAGACGCACGGUUUCUCCCGGAGCUGUUCUGUUGUUAAGGUUGACAAUUAGAUAAGGGUACCCUUGUAUCGUUGUGUUGUUCUUUUUCCCCAACACGUUCUACAGUUCUAAUAACACUUCUACUUUUUGAAGAUGGCUUCCGCUCUCGAAAUAUCAAAACCCUAAGUAGACCACCGAAGGUACUUUGUAGUAGAAAACAACUCCUGUACACGUUUUCUAAAGUAAUUGUUUCCACCGAAGUUCUUCAAAUAAGGCAAUGAACUACCGCACCACUAUUACUUUCUACAGCCCGUAAAGUAUUUACUUCUUUUCGGUCUCCUUUAAUCACCCGAGUAUUAGUCGAAGUAUUUCUUUAAGUUAAACCACACAAGGGAAAGCACGCGAGCUCGCGAAGUUACCCGACCGGGUAAUUCUUAACAUCCUUCCCUCCUACAACUCCUGCAUCGUAAAGAAAGACUACAGAGGCAGCGGCGGCCACUCGUGCGGAACUGGGCCAGGUACAACCACGGUGCAACACAGUUUACAAGCUGGGCCAGGUAGUGCGCUUUGCGGAGGUGGAACUAGGUUGCGCGGCGGCGGAGGAGGCACUAAGUCUAGGAUUGUGUUGGGCGGGAGAGGGAGGGAGUCUAGAACUAGGCGGUGGCGGGGAUGGGGGUUGUAGCUGCUGGGGAGUGGCAUCUGCUCUAGCGGCGCAGAGGAGGAGGGGAGAGGGCGCAGGGUGGGACGUGGGAGCCGACGGCGGAGCGGGAGGUGUCGCGGCGGAUGCCGUCGAUGGACUGCAGGUACCUGCGUGGCCGCGGCGAUCCGGUGGCGCCCACGGCGCAGCUCGUCGCACUGAUGCUCUUUGCCCUCCUCCUCCUGCAGUCCACCGUCGGGUAGUCCGAGCACGGGUCCCUGAUGUAGGACGAGGCGGUGCGAUCGCCGACGAAGGAGGCGCGGUUGUCCUUCAUGGAGGGAACCUUGUUACCGCGGUCGUAGCUGCUGAAGCUGUGGCAGUCGUACUACUGAGUGACCCAGCACCUCGCGUAGGGUCGGUCCCUCCCGUACGGACUCCACUCGGGAGAAGAAUUAAUAAGGGCUUAAACGUGUUUAAACUGACCAUCUCCUCGUUGUUUACCUCUUUUGCUGAAACUUGGUCCAGAAGGUCUAAAACUAGGACAAUUCGUAGUGUUGUUAACGACAGGUACCCAGUUACCCUAACAACGUCGUCGAACGACAAUACUAUGAUCAAGGUCGAGUCCGUCAGGUCUUGAAAGACCGACCGUCGAUUGAUGGCUACGUUAACUAUGUAAGGUCAGAGAACCAGUUAGAGUUUUAGUUUGAUACGCCAGACUUAGACGUCGGAGCGAUUUCUACUAUCAUAAUUAUUAGAAACUGUAAAACAUGAUGAAGGAGGACGAUCCCAAAGCCACCACCCCCACCUUGAGAAGCAACGCGUGCCGACUCUACUUGCAGGAGCCGCCACCACCGCCGCGCACACUCUAGGAGGAGGUACUGUUCCGGCGGCGGCCUAGUCGAGGAGAGACGGCUACCUAGGAGCGGAGAGGCUGUACCGGCGGUGGCCUAGGGGAGGAGAGAUUAUCGUUGUGGAGGCCUAGGUGAGCAGGAGCUGUUGUUACCGUGGCUCCUCGUGGUCCUCGAAGCCUAGGCACGAUAUCUUACGGUAGAUCCUAUAGACAAUUCGGUGAACGAGUGGUCUUCUUCCGACACUUCUAGAAGGGGGCGGGAUGGAGACCUGGAGAAGCGGGGUAGCACGUUACGGUCUGGGUGUUCAUGUUGUACUUCCGGUCCCGACCGUCCCCGAAAUGGGAACUCCUCGAAUUCCACUAAUAGUAAGGAAACGAGAUAAAGCAACAGAGACUUCUCGGAUAGGUACUACGUUGUAGUAGACUAGGGUAUUAACCAAAUAUU
rnacentral:rRNA from 1 species